UACGAGGGGGGCGAGCGUUGUUCGGAAUUAUUGGGCGUAAAGGGUGCGUAGGCGGUUUGGUAAGUCUGAUGUGAAAUCUCUGGGCUCAACUCAUAGUCUGCAUCGGAAACUGCCGGGCUUGAGUAUGGGAGAGGUGAGUGGAAUUCCUGGUGUAGCGGUGAAAUGCGUAGAUAUCAGGAGGAACACCUGUGGCGAAAGCGGCUCACUGGACCAUAACUGACGCUGAUGCACGAAAGCUAGGGGAGCAAACAGG
rnacentral:rRNA from 1 species